UCGGACUUUUCACGCUGAAAAGGCAACUUCCCACGGAUGGCCCACGAUGCUGCACAAAACAAGUGCCUCUUACGCCCCGCUGUGUCCCGCUGUGUUGUUGAUGCAACAGCGCUGCCCUGGAGCAGUGUUUGUAGAGCGCUGCAGCGAGAGACCUUGGGUCUCAGCUCAGGAGCCACAUACACAACCUUCUCUCUAAGAAUAAAAAUAAUGUGGAGUUCACGACAACAGAAGCAGCAGGAGAUGAAAACUCUGAAUCCUGGGAAUGGUUGGAACUCCAGUCUGAGCUGAACCUGCAGCCCUUCUGUUCUCUGUGGUGAUGCUUGACCUCCAUCUGAAGGGAGGCCUGUGAUAUUAAAGUUUCAGUCUGUAAAAACUGGCCUGAACUCUUACUGUUAAUAAAGUAACAACUCACUCGUCAGAAACACACACAGGUUUAAUAACAGAGGGGACGGAGAGGACGAUAUGAAGGUGCAAACACUUCUCCCCAACAGGUUCUCAAACCUCUGAGGAAAUGGGUCAGGUCCAAGGAAAUACUGACAGGAAGUCUCUGUGUCGCCGUGAACUCUGCUGCUGAUCCAUCUGAGACGGUCCAAUCACUGAGACACACAGUACUGUGUACUACACAGUACUGUGUAGUACACACAGUACAGCCUGGGUUCUGUGUUUCGUUUCUCCGUCUGUUCUGUUGCUCAGGUGUUUUUCAUAACCGUUCCUGGUCGUGUUGUUCCUGCGUGUGGCGCUGUGUUAUUGUUUUAUCAGGAUUUUAAUGAAUGUUUGUUUUAUCUUCCAGCUUCAGAUCAACUGGGACUGACAGCAUGAAAACAACAUGAAAUAUUUAAACACCGUAAGAAAGACAGACAGGAAUCUGAAAUAUGUUUAUUGUUAAUCCUAAAUGAUUGGAUUAACAUUCAUCAUGAAUUCUGUGGAACCUCAUAAUAUUCACGAUAAUUACAGAGCAAAGUUUUAUUGUACGUCACUGACAUGAAAUAUUCCCAGGUAAAUGUGAGAUAUUUGGCAGAUGAUGACAUUUAUAAUUGGUAAAAAAUAAAGACGCUGUAAUACUUCUUCAAUACUUUUGACAGUAUUCAUUAUUAAGACUGAGUUGUUAUUCAGGAGUGGGUUUUGGUGUUGGAUCACGUGGUUGGUUUAUUAGGGCUGCAGGUGUAACUGACGCAGUUCAUCACAAACGUUAUCUCCACUCUUUAUGUUUGUUCUUCGUUUACAGUUAAAUAAAAAGUGAUUGAUCUACCGCUGUA